rnacentral:rRNA from 1 species
AACAAACGCUGGCGGCAUGCCUAACACAUGCAAGUCGAACGAGAUCUUCGGGUCUAGUGGCGCACGGGUGCGUAACGCGUGGGAAUCUGCCCUUUGGUUCGGAAUAACAGUUGGAAACGACUGCUAAUACCGGAUGAUGGUGAAAGUCCAAAGAUUUAUCGCCAGAGGAUGAGCCCGCGUAGGAUUAGCUAGUUGGUGUGGUAAAGGCGCACCAAGGCGACGAUCCUUAGCUGGUCUGAGAGGAUGAUCAGCCACACUGGGACUGAGACACGGCCAAGACUCCUACGGGAGGCAGCAGUGGGGAAUAUUGGAGAAUGGGCGAAAGCCUGAUCCAGCAAUGCCGCGUGAAUGAUGAAGGCCUUAGGGUUGUAAAGCUCUUUUACCCGGGAUGAUAAUGACAGUACCGGGAGAAUAAGCUCCGGCUAACUCCGUGCCAGCCGCCGCCGUAA